GAAGUUGGUGAUGGGGGAAGAGUGGACUUUUUUUUCAAAGAAUGCUGUGGUGACUCGAGUACAACACAUGAAGAAUUCCAGAAAAGAGCCAUUUUUGAAGUCAGCGGUGAAUCAGAGGUUUUCUGACCCUCUCGAGUGCCUUCUAUGAAGAAGAGUUCAACUCUGGCUCCAGUUUGUCCCCUACUCUUUUCCCGAAUCCCUCGACAUUCCUUGCUCUUUUCCCCAGGCACCGCAUGGCCUGUGACAUUUGCUGGGACUCACACACGGCGUCCAACCUCCUUUCUCCGAGCGAUGACUCCUAGGAACUUCCCAAGGACCAGAGCGAUGCAGGCUCCGACACGCGAGGGCGGGGGGCGGGGGUGAGGGGUGCGAUGGACGGGGGAGCGGAAGGGAAAGAGAGAGAGAGGGGACCUGGGUGUAGAGAGGGCCCAGGGCCGCAUGAGCCAAGCCAGGGAGGAGCAGGGGGUUCAUCUCAGCAACCUGAUCGGUGUCGGCCUUUCCCUCCCUUCAACCCUCCAUUGGUGUUGCUGGAACUGGGAAGACUGCUAGACAGACAUCCUCUAGGGCACUCUCCCUGACUCACUUUGCUGUGCUUUUAAGCGCUCUUUUCUGGAUCAACAAGAGUUUGCUAGUAAAAAUCUGAGCCCGCCAUCUCGAUGCUUCUCCUGUCUCUAAAACUGGUGCCCGGGCUGAGGCCCCAGGUGACAGACGUUUUCCAGUCUACGCUGCGCGGGGCUAAGCCUCUGCGAGGCAGAGCGCACUAAAGCGUGCGCCGCCUCCGGGAGAGCUGAGCUCAGGACAGCAUCGUCUCCGUGCGGUCGCCGCUGGGCACCCAGCAGCGCGGUCUGGCUCCGCUUCUUGUGUCGCUGGCCUUAAGAGUGGGACUGUGAAGGUGGCUGGGCGCUGGAAUUUGUGGUUUUAAAAGUUCUUGACACCUGCUAGAAAGUGCUAGAGGACUCUUCAGCCCCUAAGGUGCCCCUAGCCACCAAGAGUAGGCGUUUUUCCUGAAAUUGAUAUGGGAAAUUUGAAAAGUAGGGUUUUUGAGAACAAGCCACAUCAGAUCUUUCCCCACUUAUUUCAACCUCUUAUCGUUCCUGCCCCUAAGGUUCUGGUCACGGUUGCACAUUUAAUGCUUUCACAUGGAAGUGCUGUCGAAGACUGAGACUGCACCCCACCCUCCAAAGCAUCCCAUAAGCAAGCACAGUUUCUUACUAGCCAAGGAGAAGGGAAAGCACUAGUUGAAAGUGGCCACAGGAAAUGCUCAAAGAUGUUCAGAAUGCAUGGGACAUAUGCAAGGACUCCAAAUCCUUACAGUGGCUGCUGGUUUCAGAAGGUGUUUCUCCCAAAUAGAAAGGAUUGGUCACGGAAAUGCCCUGUAGGAGAAAGACACUGGUAUCCGUUUCUUAAAGGACAUUCACACUUAUGAAGUGUUUAGGGCAAAGCAAAAAGGAGGAAGUUUCUUUCAGGAAAAUCUUCAUCUUACAACUUGUAGGGCUGGUGUUAACUUACGACUUCACUAACUGUGACUUUGAGAAGAUUAAAGCAGCCUAUCUCAGUACUAUUUCUAAAGACCUGAUUACAUAUAUGAGUGGGACCAAAAGUACCGAGUUCAACAACACCGUCUCUUGUAGCAAUCGGCCACAUUGCCUUACUGAAAUCCAGAGCCUAACCUUCAAUCCCACCGCCGGCUGCGCGUCGCUCGCCAAAGAAAUGUUCGCCAUGAAAACUAAGGCUGCCUUAGCUAUCUGGUGCCCAGGCUAUUCGGAAACUCAGAUAAAUGCUACUCAGGCAAUGAAGAAGAGGAGAAAAAGGAAAGUCACAACCAAUAAAUGUCUGGAACAAGUGUCACAAUUACAAGGAUUGUGGCGUCGCUUCAAUCGACCUUUACUGAAACAACAGUAAACCAUCUUUAUUAUGGUCAUAUUUCACAGCACCAAAAUAAAUCAUCUUUAUUAAGUAGAUGAAACAUUAACUCUAACUGUGACAAAGAAGACCACAAAUAGUUAUCUUUUAAUUACAGAAGAGUUUCUUAACUUACUUUUGUAAGUUUUUAUUGUGUAAGUUUAUAAUGCAGGGGAAGUACUACUCCUCAAAUGUUGAGGGAAGCUUCCAUAACAUUGAUGACUGGCUUCAUGGCAGUAAUUCUCGGCUGUAGUUGCAUAAGCAUUGCUCAAGAGGAAAAUCCAAAAGUGCAGCAGGAGAACUCUUUUCCCUGAAAAAGGAAAAAUAUUGAACUCAAUGAUAGCACCUAAACUUACAUUUAAAAGACAGACAUUCCUUCUACAUGUAAUGACACUUCUUGUGUUAAACUAAAAAUUUACAAGAGAAGAAAGUGAAAGCAAAUGGGGUUUCACAAAUAGUUGUAAAUAUAGUGAAGCAAUUUGAAAUAAUUUUCAAGCAAAGUAUUGUGAAAGUAUUCUAAGCCAAGUUUUAAAUAUUAUCUAACAGACAAGAGUGGUAUAUACAAGUAGAUCCUGAGAAGUACCUUUGUUACAGCUACUAUAAAUAUACAUAUAAAUUAUAGAAUCUACUUUAAUUUAUUUUGUGAACACUUUUGAAAAUGUACAUGUUCCUUUGUAAUUGACACUAUAUAUUUCUUAAUAAAAUAAUUCUCAAAUUUGUUUCUUAUGAAUCAUCUCUCAAAUCUAGUUAGACAAUUUGCACACAUACUUUUCUAAGGGACAUUAUCUUCCUUCAGGUUUUUACCUCCACUCAUCCUUAGAGCCCACUGACUGCUCCCCUUUAUACCUGUUGGCCCUGCCUAUAGGAGAGAAUAUUUGGAGAUAGGCAGCUUCAGGAUGCAUUGCAAUCAUCCUUUUCUUAAAUUAUGUCACUAGUCUUUUAUUUUUUCCCCUCUUGAACUUUCCUCACACCUGGAAGAAACAAAGUAGGAAAAAGUGAACAGGGGAUGUCAAAUCGAUUCUUGAAUUCCCGCUGCAAGCUAGAGCCGCAGGCACCCUCUCACUCAAUUUCCACUCAGAACCCUAUAAACACCAGUGGGAAGGGCAACCCACUGCACGUGGGAAUGCACUGAUUUUUCCUAGGAGUAGACAUGUUCCUCUAAUUACUCCCUGAGGGUUAGUUGGGGCUAAACCAUGACAGAAGUGGGGAAGUUCAAUGUCCUUAAAUCCAUCUUACUUGCCAACAGGUAAGAGGAAGCUUACAUUACAUGUCCAGUCCACAUUUAAAGAGCACUUACUGUGGAACAAGCCUUCAGCCAAACAAUGGGGAUAGAAAAGUAGGUAAGACUCAGCCUUUGUCCAGAGAAGCUCAGGGUAUAGCUGAAUAGGCAGUUUCUUUUGUCCUGAGGAAAAUCAGGACAUGCCUGCUUUCUAAAAAUCUUCCUCUGAAGACCUGACCCAAGCUCUUAAAUGCUAUUGUAAGAGAAAUUUCUUUGUCUAUUAACUCCAUUUUAGUAGGGAUUCACUGACUAGAUUUUACUGAACUAUGAAAAUAAAUACACAUAAUUUUUCACAAAAUUUUGGGCCCAAUUCCCCUAAAAGAAUUGAGGAUUAGGGAGAAAGGAGACAACUCAAAGUCAUCCCAUUAAGUGCAGUUUCUUUGAAUCUUCUGCUUUAUCUUUAAAAAUUUGUAUAAUUUAUAUAUUUUAUUCUAUGUGUUCCAUAGAUAUCUUAAUGUAAAAUUAGUCAUUUAAAUUACACUGUCAAUUAAAAGUAAUGGGCAAGAGAUUGCAUCAUACUAAUUUAGUAAGAACGUUCCCAAAUGUUGUAACAAUGUGGAUCAUACAUCUCUGGUUUUUUAAAUGUAUUGAGGCUUUCUUGGUGGACUAGUAUAGUAUACGGUCAGUUAUGUCAAUGUUUCAUGGUCAAUAAAAAGGAAGUUGCAAAUUGUGA